rnacentral:lncRNA from 1 species
CUUUUCUUUUUUUUUUCUUUUUUUUUUUUUGAGACAGAGUCUUGCUCUAUCGCCCAGGCUGGAGUGUAGUGGCGUGAUCUCAGCUCACUGCAACCUCUGCCUCCCCAGUUCAAGAAAUUCUCCCUGCCUUAGCCUCCCGAAUAGCUGGGAUUACAGGCGCCUGCCACCAUGCCUGGCUAAGUUUUGUAUUUUUAGUAGCAAUGGGGUUUCGCCAUGUUGGCCAGGCUGGUCUUGAACUCCUGACCUCAGGUUAUCCUCCCACCUUGGCCUCCCAAAGUGCUGGGAUUAUAGGCACGAGCCACCAUGCCCGGCUGCCUCAAUUUUCUAAGUGAAGAAAAUGGGUCUCAGUGAUCUAUAGAAAACGUAAGGUGGAAAGCCUAGGUUUGCACCCUGGUUCUGUGAAGGGAUUUGAGGUGACACUGGUUACACUCUUAGUAUAGGGCUAUCACAUAGGAGGAGCCUGGACAAUGGCUCAACAUCACUGUCCCCAUCCCACAUCUCCACUGCUCAUCUAAGGCCACACCACUGGCAAGCCUGAGCAUGAAUGGAACCGAAGACUUUUGAUGCUAAGUCCCCAGCCUUUCCGCUUUUCAAUUAUGUUGAAAUUAAUCAGAGAUCUCAACCCUGGCUUUUGAAGGCCGGGCCUCCAUCUCAUCAAAAUCGGAGUGUGCGUACUUGAUGGAGGUUAUUAGACCAUCAGUGGUUUGCAUGUGUAUGUGGCACAUCUCAGGAUGUCAUGGGAGACACACCUCUGAUGGGCUGGGUCCCUGUACCUGACCCUGGUUCCCAGUCACUGGGUUUGAGAAAUGUUGAGAACAGGAAUGUUGUUGGCCAUGCAAAUCAACAAAGGCAGAAAAAAAAAAGACAAGUUGAUGGCUCAAGGCCAUUCCAGCUUCAGAAUUCUUCAAGAACAAGAUGAGUGGUUUGCUGAUCCCCUGUGACCAGAGUAAUUCUGAGAUGGCCCUUGGUAACCCAGGGUCUCACAGAUAUUUCUGUAACAUUGACCUUGAGUGCCCUUCUUGUAUAUUAAGUCCAGAGAGUUAGUACCAUCAGCCCAUCGCUGAGUAACAACUGGGCUUAAUAUGCAUCCAGCUUUGGGGGAUACCAUAAGACAUGGUCCCUGGACUCCAAGGAGCUCCCAGAUCUCACUGAAGGAACUAGAGGACAAUCUGGAGUGCAAACAAGAGUCCCCCCUCUUUUGGAAGCUUGGCUGUGGGUUGCUCUGGGCAGCAGUGGGUCAGUGUGGUGCGGACAGGGGAUGGCUCCUAAGUGCUUUUUGUGCAUUGCAUCAUUUAGUCCUCACAACUUCCCUACAAUGGGUAAUUCUGUUGUUAUCACCAUUUCACAGACGGGGAAAUUGAGACACAGGGAGAUUAAGUAACUUGCACAGUCAUACACCUAAUAGGUAGCAGAGCUGAGAUUCAAAUCCAGGCAGGCCGGAAAGCCAGAGUCAGUGCUCUUAGCCCCUACCCCUGUUCCAUCCUAGAGGGGCUCAGCUAAUCCUUGAAGGAUGAGGGAUUUUAGGGAGGCAAAAUACUAAGGAGUGGGAGCUCCACAGACCUGGGUUUGGUAGUACUGGUUGUGUGACUUUAGACAACUUUGAGCCUCAAUUUCUUCAUCUGGUAAAUGAUAACAUCCUCUUUUAUA